ensembl:lncRNA
CACGAUAUGGUCUAAUUUUACUCUUCAUGUAGCUAUAUCUCUAUCUCCAAAACUUCCUAGAUUUUCAGUUGUUUCUUAAAUUAACUAAUUUGCUAGUUAGUAGUCAGAGUACAUGUGGCCUUAAAAAGAGUAAAAGAAGUACAUUUUGUAAACUCAUCAGGAUAAAAGAGACAGUUAGAGCUUAUUACAGUCAUAUUUUUAUUGUGUACUUGCAGCACCGCAAGUUGGUAGAAGUAGGUCCGACACACCCAAAGUAAUCAAAGCACCAUAAAGUCAAACUCCUGGUUUCAGAUCACCCCAGAAGUAGCUCUGAGGCUGGGAUCCCAGUGAAGUUCAAACCCCAGCCUCAACUACGGCCACUCAUAGCAAAGCACUACCAGAAGGAGCUGGUUCCAAUGGCACACUUGGAUAGACGUGACCGUUCAUCCCAUUUGUCAGGUCGAAGAGGAAAUGCGAUCAAUCGUCAUCAUUUCACCAGAACAGACAAUCGAGCUGCAAUAACAAAGCCUCGAGGCACUGUGAGAAAACUACGGGGGUAUGAGUCAGAAGAAGAGACAGAAAUGAUGGCACCAGCUAGGCCAUUAGAUAUAUGAGGAGCAGAGAAGAGCGAUGUUUGCAUCUCUAGGGCCCUCUGUGCACUGUUCCAGAGAAAAUAACGAAGCUCUUAUAUGAACCAAACCACAGUUUUCCUUUUGGGACCAGUGCAGUCAUUCUCGUAUCACUUUUAAGUACUGUAUCAAGGUACUUAGUGGUUCGAGGAAGACUCAAAUUCUUAUAUGUUUAUAUUAAGCUGGCUUUUUGGCAAAACAGUGCAGGAAAGAGAGGAACAUGAUCUUUGUAGGGAUUUGGGCAUGUAUUUAGAUAACAACAGUUGGGCAUAUGCAUAACUCUAGUUGGGAGCUGAUACUGCCUUCUUCUGUUCUAAACUAUGGAUUAAACCCAGGGGAAAGAAUCACAGGUGAUAAGGAUGUGGUUAAGACAUGGGUGCCCAGAUUGGUAACUUCAAAGCUCUAGAAAGCUGAACCUCAGAGUAGCUGAGAUGUUUGAAGUAAGAAUGGGGAAAAAGACAUUUUUAGGGCACCUAAAUACCACUGAAGAUGCUUAGAUGGGUACAUAAAUGAAAAUAAUUAUUUAGUGGUCAUUUUAAGCUCUUGGGUAUCCACCAGCAUCUCAGGUUUUGGCUUUGGAAAAGUGUCUGAAGUGAGUUAUAGGAUGUUCUGGGAUUCCUGCAACUUCAUGCGGAGGCAUCACCCACCUAAACGUUUUUAGAUGAAGAAAGGAGGCAUCCUAGUACUAACAAAUCCAGAGAGAACUCUUCUGGAAGGAGUGCUGUUUGGAGACAUACACAAAGCUCAUAUUUUUCAAAUAUGAGACAGCAAGGAUGUGCAGAAUAGACAAUAGACCUGUGCUUAUAGCUCUAGUGUAGUUAGGUAGAGGUUUUUGCCGUGGAGAAGCUAACCUCCUUCUCUCACUCCCACCAUGCUGAGGGUGCCCAAAUCCCUAGGCUACUCUUUGCACUGAAGCUGGAUCUGCAACUUAGGUGGGAAACAAGAGUUGGACAAAAAGGAAGAGUCUAGUCUGACUUUGUAUCCUGCUGGCUAGCAGGAAAUAAAGGCUCUGUGUUGUGCUGCCAGGUUUUUAGGAUUGUAGAAGCAUAGAAUCCUCAGAGUUGAAAAGGACCUUUAAAGGUCAUCUAGUCCAACUCCCCUGCAAUGAACAGGGAUAUCCACAAGUAGAUAACACUGCCUGGAGCCUGGUCUGACCUGGACUUGAAUGUCUCCAGGGACAGGGCAUCCACCACCUUUCUGGGCAACCUGUUCCAGUGCCUUACUACCCUCACUGUAAGAGAUUUUUUCCUUAUAUCCAACCUAAAUCUAUCCUCUUUAAGUUGAAACAAUUUCCCCUUUUCCUGUCACAAUAGACCCUGCUAAAGAGUCUGUGCCCUUCUUUCCUGUAGCUCCCCUUUAGGAAAGAAUAGAAAUCCUUUCUAACUCUCAGUAGAAAGGAUGUUUGACUGUAUGUUGCACAGAGAAGCAUUUGCUAAAUAGGCAGAAAUGAUCAGGGGCAUCUUCACUUGAGCCUCUGACCUCCCAGCUCUCCUGCUGAGCAUCCUUUUCAGCUGACUCCAUGCACUCAUGCACUAAUUUCAACAGCAGAUCUCCCUAAUGGUAAGGACAAGGGAAGCAAGAAGCUGCUGGCCUGGGAUAUAUUAGUUGAAGUCUAAACUGUCAAUCGAAAACACUGGUCACCUAGUGCCUCUGACUGAGCUUCUUUCUGCAAAAUGGGAGGGGCAUCACCAGUGUUGUAAAACUGUAGGUGAGCAGAUUUUAAAACAAAAGAAUAAUUUGAGUCCAGAAGUCCAUAAACUCACCCUUACAGCUGCACUAAAAUCUGCAGCUGAGAAAUGCACCAAGUUUGGUCACUUUCUUCAAAUUUCUCUCUUCUACUCAAAGCUUGCUUAGCUAUUCAACAUAAGAUCUGUAAAUGUACUGCAGGAAGCAGAAAGAGAUAGUGAUGACGGUGAGGUCUUCUGAUUCUGGGGGAAGAUCUUACUGUUAAGCACUUGUCCAAAAGAUCUUUGAAGAGUAAGUUAUGGCUUCAUCACAUUUCUUACAAUGGAUUUCUGAUUCAGCAAAGGUAACAUCUAAACUAACAAAUUUGGAAGACAUUACUGGAGAAAGAAAAAAUAAAAGCUUUCUUUUUUUCUCAUAUUUGAAGUUUUUUUUUUUUUAUAUAUUUAGCAGAUCAUAAUGAAUCAUCUGUACUGAAACUAUACUCAGUUUUCUGAAUCUUAAGUUCUGUUUGCAUUUCCUCAUUGUGCCAGAUAAAUUAUCCGACUUCCUUUUAUGAAAGGGUAAGUUUUGUCUUUUGUACUGACAAUAAGCAAACAAACAUGGUUCUGUAUCUGAAAAUCAACAAAUAAAC